rnacentral:lncRNA from 1 species
AAAUCGAAAGAAAAAAAAAACAAAGUGAAAGAAAAUUGGUAGACUUAAAGAUCAAAAUGGGUCUGCACAAAAAAAAAAUAAAUUAAAAUAAGAGCCAAAAGAAUAAAACAAUAAAAUUGGCCUGUUCAAAAAUGAAAAACAAAAUAAACAAAGUAGUUCCACUAGUACUCAUGUUGUUUUGACAAAGAGACCGAAGGUGAGUAGUACUUUAAUGUGUAGGGAUGAAUAUGUAGUGUAUCUAACUCCAAUUCUUUUGAUUAACCUACUUUCCUAAAUAUAUCCCACCUUAACCUAAGCCACAUCAUAACCUUGAAAGUCCUCUAAAGUGUGUGUGAUUUUUAUGACUUUGAAUGACUGUUUAGAAUUUCUUCAAGUUCGUAGCAAAAUGCAUUAACAUGUUGAUCGGAGCGGGCAAAUGCCAUGACCAGCCCCACUGGCUUUGAGAAUUGGUGAGGAAGAGAAUGGGAAAUAGAGUGUGGUUGAAAGCAUGAACUAUCUUCUCUAAGCCUGCCCCGCUUGCGCGAAAUUGGUAAGUUAGUCAACGCCGGAAGGGGGACGAAUGAGGAUCUAAGCACCCUCUCGGAAAGGUAUGUCAUUUUUAAAUUUGUGCAAAUUCUGACUUUUUGUCAAUUUUGUUACUUGAGGACAAGCAACAUAUUAAGUUUGGG